AGAGUUUGAUCAUGGCUCAGGAUGAACGCUGGCGGCGUGCUUAACACAUGCAAGUCGAACGGAAAGGCCAGUGCUUGCGCUGGUACUCGAGUGGCGAACGGGUGAGUAACACGUGGGUGAUCUGCCCUGCACUUCGGGAUAAGCUUGGGAAACUGGGUCUAAUACCGGAUAGGACCAUUGGUUGGUGCCUUUGGGUGGAAAGUUUUUUCGGUGUGGGAUGAGCUCGCGGCCUAUCAGCUUGUUGGUGGGGUAAUGGCCUACCAAGGCGUCGACGGGUAGCCGGCCUGAGAGGGUGUACGGCCACAUUGGGACUGAGAUACGGCCCAGACUCCUACGGGAGGCAGCAGUGGGGAAUAUUGCACAAUGGGCGCAAGCCUGAUGCAGCGACGCCGCGUGGGGAUGACGGCCUUCGGGUUGUAAACUCCUUUCGCCAAAGACGAAUGUGGACGGUAUUUGGAGAAGAAGCACCGGCUAACUACGUG
rnacentral:rRNA from 1 species